UUCUGACUUUGUCAUUUACUGAUGAAAACACGAAGGUGCAAAGGGGAAGGGAAGGGGCCAACAAUCUACCACAGGAUCUCAUGGAUUCACUUCAAGGCUGAAGUGCCACCUCAUGCGGCUCCUCCUGGAUAGGAAUAACGUGUAAAUGACUGUAGCAACCUGGGGAGGUUUCUAGCUAUACUCUCAGGCUUUUCUCAAAGACUGCUAUGUCUUAGUGUCUCGGUGCACUUUCUUGAUGAAUGUCAAGGCCAGCCCGUUUUCUCGCCUCAGGGGAGUGGACAGGCUGACUAGGGAGGAGAAGCCUACCCCACUGAGGAUGUUGGUGCGGCCACAGCACCUCCCCAUCCUGAGUGUCACAGGAAGUGUCUGCAAGAAUCUGAAGUUCCUGCAGAAAACCACUGACAAAGCUGGGUUUCACCUUCUUUACUGAUGGACAAUCUGCACCGCAACUGACUAAGGCGAGCACAUGGCAGGUCUCAACUCUGCAGGAAUUGGGAGGAAAAGCCUGUAUGGAGUAGGACCAACGAGCUCCAGUAGGACUAUUUUGAUCCAAUAAAUGAUAAACGUAGAGUUCUCCGUUAACAAGACGUUGGUGAAUCAUUAGGGACAGAUACACUGAAUGGAACUGCACUUUGCUGACAACAUUGUCGUGGUGUCAGCCAAGUGAGCAUAAUAAGACAUUGUGCGGGACAAAGCCACCAAGAUUAUGCAGUGACAUGUUCAUGUUGUAUCUUAAUCGUGUGGUUGAUAAAAUGCAUUGAUAAGGGUAGUUCCUUAUAAAAUUUGUUUACUGCUGAUAGUCAUGAUUGCAACACGGCUCACUACCUAUUCUACCCUACCUGUUGCCAUCGAGUCGAUUCCGACUCAUAGCGACCCUAUUAAGACAAGACAGAGCUGCCUUAUAGCUUCCAAGGAGCAGCUGGUGGAUUCAAACUGCCAACCUUUUGGUUAGCAGCUGAGCUCUUAACCACUGUGACACCAGGGCUCCAACUAAUCGCUAUCCUUUUUCAAUCCUUCUAAUACACAUAUUGUCCGCCUUAAAGAGUUCCCUUGAUAUUCUGUGUAUUUGGGGGCUAACGCAUAUGUUUUGCAUACGGGCCAGCUACUUCCUCUCUGCUCUGGCAUUUGAGCAAAUACAGAAGUCUGCUCUGCUUCUCAGUGCAGAUGCCAGUGGGGCGGGUGAUGAGGAGGGAUGUAGGAAAGCUUGGCUUUCCCCAGCCCUGCCAGUGACUCAGGCUCAUGGAACUAUCAAGUGUGCUGAGUGGAAAUGCAUGCUGCUACUCUGGGCUUGAGUUGCCAGGAAUGGUGAACCCCACUGGCGAAGGCGGUUCCUGUCCUCUGAACAGCCUCCAGAAAGUGAGCAACUGCCUGACACACGCAUGUCGGGGGUCAGCCCAAAUACGGGAAUGUGUACACUUUAGACCAGAGAACUCCACUGUUGGUGGAAGGGUAUAGAGAGGAUUUGGGGCAAUUCUUUCUUUCACAUCUCAACUGGGUUUUGCCCCAGAAGUAGCUGGUUGACCGAAUACCAAAAUGAUGGGGCUGUGCAUCGAAUACAAUAAAUAAAUAGACCUUCAGAAAUACAGGUUUAAAAGGAAUACUCGCUUUUAUUCGCGCUGCUCUUUGUAGCUGAUCUGGCUGCUGUUCUUGUUUCAUCAUAUGCUGGAUCGUGUGGAACUUUGGAAAACACUUGCAGCAGAAUUUUAUCUCAAGAAAACAAAGGCAUGUUAACACAGCGACACUCUGUAAGUGCCUGAAGAAGGCUACGAAUACAGUGAAUAACGACACAAACUCAACAGGCCCUGGUAAUCUCUGUUCCACUUUGUCUCUGUGAAUUCGCCUAUUCUCAGUCCUCAUGCACCAGACAAGAGGGAUUGCACUGGAAUUUGGACCAUUCCUCUGACCAGAUGACUGUGAGUCCCAGCCUUCACUCCCGGUCUCAGCUUUCUGCUAAAGAGGACUUCCCCGGACCUUAGUUUUUCUCAAAUGUUAAGUGAGGGUCUUAGGAGCCCUGGUGGCACAGUGAUUAAGAACUUAGCUGUUAACCAAAAGGUUGGUAGUUCAGACCUACCAGCCACUCUGUGGGAGAAAGAUGUGGCAGUCUGCUUCUGUAAACAUUUACAGCCUUGGAAACCCUACGGGGCAGUUCUACUCUGUCCUAUAGCGUCGCUAUGAGUCAGAAUCGACUUGACAGCAAUAGGCCUGGCUUUCUGGUUCUAGAUUAGAUCAAUAUGGUUCCCAACUCUGGCAUCACCUGGAGGGCUCAGAAACCACUAAUGCAAAAACCUCACCCCGGAUCUUGAGUCUACGGGAGCUGGCCCAGAGUGUCUGUAACAAUCUCCUACGGAUUCUCAUGCUCAAUUACAGCUGAGAACCAUGAGAGAAGGCUAUCUCAGCCUAGGAGCCUCGCCAUUUCCAACACGCACAGAAAUCUCCCCGGGACCUUGGCGGAGACAAAUGUGACUUGGUGGGUUGGAGCUGGGGCGGACACUGUAGUUCUAACAAGCUCCCAGAUGAAGCUCAGGCUGCUGGCACAUGGACCACUCUUCAAGAAGUAAGGCCCCUUCCAAGUGUUUAUAAUCUGUGGUUUUCUUCAUUUCUUGGGGGUUUGACACUUAGGGGAACCAACUCCAGCCUCAAGGCAAAGCAUGUUCCCUCCCUUCAAAGCAGCAGGAACAGGGUAUCUGGGACACAACCGUGGACAAGCAACUCCUUUCAAAUACAACGUUAAUGUUUCACAUAAGGAGGUUACUUACCAAAUAUUUUAGGCAAAUCUUCAUCUAGGUUUUUUGAUCUUGACACAAAUUCAUUAUUUGAAUCUAUGGAGAAAGUAAACCUCAGCUGUGAUUAAACCUUUCACUGGAUCUGCAAGUAUUCUCUUGAACACACACCUAUGCUGCACACCAUUUUGAGAGGCGUGCCAUGUGAUAGGUCUGCUCCGGGGGAAAGAGAGCUGGAUUUGAGUUCCAGUCCACCCUCGAGUGCCCUGUGGUCUUGGACACUCAAGUCCUGUGGGACCUGACUGGCGGGAAGUUACAACCCACAGGUUGGCUGAGGACGAGGGGAGAUAAAAUCGCCAAUGUGAUCUGUAAACCCAGCAGCGCCCUAUGGUUCUCAUCACUCCCUGCUGUCAUCGAUUAUGAACUGCAAUGAAAGACGCUGCUUCCAAGGAUGGUUCUGCUCAUUGCUCAGUUUCGAGGGGAGCAAAUCAGGACAGACGCACAUUCUCCUGUUUUAAAGAGAAGCUUUCCUCUCCUUGAGGAAUGACGCCAACAAGGAGUGGCUUUGACUAUUUUGGAAAUAUGUUGCUUUUUUAUUUUGGAGAAGAGGGAAAUGUGCUAUCUCCUACUCAACACCUGUCCACAGCAAAGGUCUAAAUUAGGAGGGGGAUCAAAGGGCCUGAGAGAAGGAUAAACCUAAUAAUGGAAAAAGAUGGAUGGUAACAGCUGAACAACUCUGUGGAUAUAUUAAAAAACAUUGGGUCAUACACUUUAAGUACAUUGUGCGAUCUGUGAUUUGUUUCUCAAUAAAGAUAUUAUUAAAAACAAAAAAAAAAAAGACAGCAACCAAAUUCUGCAUGUGGACCUCGCUUGAAUUCUCAUUUCAACAAACCAAUUAAAAACAGACAUAUUUUAGGCAAUUGCAAAAAUUUCAAUAUGGACUGGGUACUAGAUGGUAUUAAGGAUUACUGCUAAUUUUUUUAGUGUGAAAAUGGCAUUGUGGAUAUGUGAAAGAAAAAGUCAAUCUGUUAGAGAUAGAAAACUAAAAUAUUUUCAUGAAAUGACAUGAUGAUUGGGAAUGUUUCAAAACACUAACAGUCAAGAAUCUAUCUUAAAAACAGUUACGUCAGUUCCUCAGAAUUGUCUACAUACAGUUACCAUGUUGUUGUUGUUGUUGUUAUCAGGUGCCAUCAAGUCAGUUUGAACUCAUAGCCUCCCUACGCACCACAGAACAAAACACUGCCCAGCCUUGCGCCAUACUCACAAUUGUUAUGCUUGAGCCCAGUUGCAGCCUCUGUGUCAAUCCAUCUUGCUGAGGGUCUUCCUCUUUUUCCCUGACCCUGUACUGUAUGAAGCAUGAUGUCCUUCUCCAGGGACUGAUCCCUCCUGACAACAUGUCCAAAAUAUGUAAGACGAACUCUCGCCAUCCUUGCUUCUAAGGAGCAUUCUGGUUGUAUUUCUUCCAAGACAGAUUUGUUCAUUCUUUUGGCAGUCCAUGGGAUAUUCAAUAUUCUUCAUCAACACCACAAUUCCAAGGCGUCAAUUCUUCUUCGGUCUUUCUUAUUCAUUGUCCAGCUUUCACAUGCAUAUCAUGCGAUUGAAAAUACCAUGGAUUGAGUCAGGCGCACCUUAGUCUUCAAGGUGACAUCUUUGCUCUUCAACACUUUAAGAGGU